GCCAUUUACAGGUUUGUCAUUUUGUAAGCCUUUUUCAUCGUUUCUACUCUUCAGUCAACAACAUAUCUUUGCUUGCUUGAUCCUAAACAUAUGUCGUUUUCAUCGGAACGCGUUGUUCAUGUUACGACUUUGACGGGAAGACGCCCACGUGCCCACUUUUCCACAAAAUUGAAAAUCUUGUUAAUUCUCCAUUAGUUUAAUUUCUCCAAAAACUUUUUAUUCCCCAUUUUCCGUACUGCCCCAAAGAGGAAAAUAAUUUCAAAUUU
rnacentral:misc_RNA from 1 species